rnacentral:misc_RNA from 1 species
GUGAACUUGGGUUCAAUCCCCAGCGCAGUCAACGGCCAUACAAGCCACCACAUGGUCACAAGGGUACACAACCCUAUAUAACCGAACAAUUUUUGCAUAUCUAUUCCUUUUCCUUCCUCACCAGCGAACUUUUUAAGCAGCACAGUGAACAACCCAUACGACAUUGCUGAUAGAAGGCCAAAGAGGUCCCCAAGGAGAGAACGUUCACCACUUGAGGAUGAAUUUAACUGAGAUUCAUCUGUCGCCCAUGUUUUUCCUAGAGUGGUCAUGACAACGCCAGACAUGCUAACAAAGACUGCAACUACUUUGGCCAUAUUUAAGGAAUCUUCACCAAGUAUUACACCAACAAAAAGGGUGAAUAAUCCCGACGUAGAAGAUAGGACUGUUGUGCUUGCAACACUUGUAUGCUCAAGUGCUGCAUUUGACAGGUACUCAGUUAUAAACCAGAGAGGAGCAAGAAAGAAUCCAUAACGAGCAAUUUGCCAGGUCGUUAUCUCUUUUCCAUUUUUUAGAUCAUCAAAAUUACCAUUGCAUUUAGCAACAAGAGGUUUUCCUUCUUCCUCGGCUGAAAUAUUCUCACCGCUGUCUUUUCUAUCCAUUGAUUUCUGGAUUUCUAUCUCAAAGACUUUCUGAACUGUAUGCUUUAAAGGAGAACUAUGUCUCAUAUAUGAUUCAUUGCCAGUAUUUUUAUCAGUUCUACUAGGGCGUCUCUUCAGAAAAUCGCAUAUCCGAUCCUUAAGAAAUGCUACAGGGAG